UACGGAGGGUGCAAGCGUUAUCCGGAUUCACUGGGUUUAAAGGGAGCGUAGGUGGGUUGGUAAGUCAGUGGUGAAAUCCCCGAGCUUAACUUGGGAACUGCCAUUGAUACUAUCAGUCUUGAAUAUUGUGGAGGUGAGCGGAAUAUGUCAUGUAGCGGUGAAAUGCUUAGAUAUGACAUAGAACACCCAUGCGAAGGCAGCUCACUACACGAUAAUUGACGCUGAGGCACGAAAGCGUGGGGAGCAAACAGG
rnacentral:rRNA from 1 species